ACAAAAGAUAGGUUAACAAGAGAAACUCAUAACAAAUUUCUUUAAACAUAGUUUUAUGUGACAUGGGAUCCUUCAGAGUGAAGACAAAAAUACAUGGGGAAAACUGUCCAUUUUUAUGCUGGGGUUUGAUGAAGAAUGGACAGCUGUGUAGGCCUGCAACUGGAUAAAAAGGACUGGAGUGUGUGCCAGAGGGCGUGCCAAGCUACAAGACAAUCACCUUCGAUUUCCCUGGAGAGUCAAUUUGACCAUAAGGAAUGACCGAAGGAUUGGGGAAGAAAAUACUCCCCCUGCUGAUGCUCCUUUGGUUCUACUUGGGAGUGAAGCUCACAAGAGGAGGGACUGCAAUAAACGUUCCCCAGAUGAUGCAGAGGUCUCUCUCUGCUGACAGUUAAUACCUUGCCUCCAAGCCUGAAUCGCCUUCCUGUCUGCGGGGUGUCUGAACGAACACAGCAAGAUGUGCAGGUCACUGAGUUAGAAGAAGUCGGCAGGGCCUAAGGCCUUCUGCAAGGUGUGACUCUCUCCCUCCAUACUGAGAACAUUUUGAAGUGACUUCAGAGGCUGCAGGGCUUGGGAAGUCCCAUGAGAACCGCUCCCCUUUCCCAAGGCACCGACAUGGCCUGUAGCCAGGCAUUGCUGUUUCUCAGCAGACUGAUCCAGGCCAGGCUUUCUGCUCUCCCUGCUGGAGGACCGCCAUCCUUAUUGAAUGUAUUUCCAAGAAAGCAGUUGACGGGCUUGGCUGUGCUAUUUCUGGAAAUGUUCAAUAGGCCAUCUUCUGGCAGGGACCGCUGCUGAUGGAUGGGUCUGAAGGGGAGACCGAGUGCUCAGCGCCAUCUCGGCCCCGGCCUAUUCCCAGGUGUCUCUGAGCAACAGCCGUCCCC
rnacentral:lncRNA from 1 species